rfam:Astyanax mexicanus chromosome 12, whole genome shotgun sequence.
AUUGCCCCUUGAGGCGUUGCAAUGCGACUGACCUGUCGUUUUUUGUGUCAUAAGGUGGCAUAGAAGAAAGGGCUAUGUUUACGCCUCGAACCCUUUUCUUCAGUGGGUUCUCAGUGUCUUUAUAGUCCUACAAG